CAGGCGGCCGUGACCCUGCUGGAGUGCAGGGGGGACCUCCAGCCCCCCGGGGGGUCCCUGACUCUGCUCUGCCACGGGAAUGGAUUCGAUUUCGAGCGUUACGACAUGAUGUGGGCCCGUCAGACGCCUGGGGAGGCGCUGGAAUGGGUCGCAGGGAUCUAUGCCAAUGGUGCCAGCACCUUCUAUGCGCCGUCAGUCAAGGGCCGGUUCACGAUCUCCAGGGACAACGGGCAGAGCUCGGUGACGCUGACCAUGAACAACCUCAAGGACGAGGAUUCCGCCGUUUAUUUCUGUGCCAAAAGUGCUGGUGCUGGUGUUGUUGGUGCUAAUUUUGUUGAUCGUUUUGAUUGCAACUGUUCCUGCCCCUUUGUCCCAAACCUCCCCCGUUGGCACCGGCACCGCCAUGGACCCCAAACCCCAACUCUGAAACUCAACUCUGGGCUCUGA